GUCUCGCGUAGGGUUCGGAGGCAGUUGCUCUGCGCCGUGAGUUCCUCGCCGCCUUCUUCCCUUUUUAUCUCCCGAGCCUUGACUUGGAUUCGGUGUAGCAGAGAAAAAAAAGGCAUCUCUCACUUUGGUUUUCCCUUUUCCUCUCUGUGAUUUGUGCUUUGCGGUUGAGAGCUUGGACUCCAAUCAUGGCCUUGGCCUAAGCACUUGCAGCACGGGAGGUCUCUUGUUGGUGCUCGGAGCUGCGCUGCCAAGGUUCGUCCGCACUGCAGAGGUGGUGCGGCUGAGGUAUUGUAUCUCCGUCUUCCUCCAUCCGACGAUAUAGCCGGGUGAUUGGAUUUCUGGGACUGCAGCUCUUGCUGUGCCUUGCCUCACUCUUCAGCCCUUCCAGCAUACUCACUUGAUAAGAUCACCAUGUUCUGAUUAGGAGAAGUCUGAACUCCUGUGUGCUGAUUUAGAUUGAGAAAUCUGUCACUGCUUAUUACAUCUUAUUCCUGGUUCUGAGCAGCAAGUACUUUUGAAUUCAGCAAAUUGUGGAGUUUUUCAGCACUUAGUUGCCUGAUAUAGAAUCCAGUGUAUGUUCUGUCCCUUGUGCAGAAAGAUUUUAACCUUCCGGGAUUAGUUCUGUGAAGGUUCUGUGUUGGCCAUGUUCUGAAUUCUGAGUUUCAGUAAAGAUCCUUUUGGAGGCCAUGUGCUAAAUUAUGAUUUUUAGUAGAGUUAUACUUGCUGUUAUAGCCAGGAAUUUGAGGAAUACAGAGAAUUGUAAAUUAAGGUUGUCAUCUAGUUGAGAUCUCAUAAUUUAGCUUAAUUAGUGAUAUGAUUUAAAGAUCAGCUUGGGAGCAAAUCUUUAUAGAUUUGGAGCCAGCUGAUAUGAUUAGUUUGAGAGCCAUAUGAUUAUGUUCUCUAGUUUAAUUCAGAUAUAUAUUAUGAUUCAUCUUCUCAGUGUUCAUCAUAUGAAAGACAUGUAUUUCAUUUUCUUGUCUU